rnacentral:misc_RNA from 1 species
GUGAUCUUCAUCAACGAACGAGAACGUUGCUCUGCUUGGAUCUGUAUAGUACCAUGCUCCAUUGCUUCUAGUUACUCUGCAAUCAUAAAAAAUUUAUAUAUAUUAAAAAAAUCCUUGUUCUACAAUCAAAACCGAAGAAAAGGAUUCUUAAGCUUAAAGAAGGAGAACAUUAAGUGAGAGAUGGUAUCUGAAACAAGGUAGUUAUGGAGUAGAAGAAUAGAUAAAACCCCUCACAAGUCCAAAAACCCUAUAUCAG